rnacentral:lncRNA from 1 species
GUUCUUACUUGUUCUUAGCUAGGACAAAAAAUUUUCCUUCAGGCAUUGACAGUUCGUUAAGAUCAGUAUGUGCUAUGUCUUCUCUUAGGGAGAGUGACUGGUCUCAAGUCAUUGGUGUGACUGACAUCAAGACAAGCAUGUAGGUGCUCAAUGGAGAAUGAGUCCACUGAACACAAUCAACAAGGAGUUCUCAUACUCAUGUCACAUGAGAACUCAUGGUUGGGAUAAUGCAAAGUAAUCUUUUAACCUGAGGCAUCGUAGUUAUCUUGUGGUUAGGUCCUUGAUCUUUGACUAUAGCAAAGUCACUUUGUCAAAGGGUGUCCACAGCAUAGUUGGGGUCAAGCCACUCAGCCACAGAGGCAAGUGAAUCUGCAAUAAGGGAUCUCUAGCCUUCAAACCGUUUGAGGGAGGAUACUCUAUAAUAUGAUUAAGAAUCUCUGGCUAGAGUCUAAAUGAGAUUUAGGAAGUCGUUCCAAAUCACAUUCAAGGAAAUCAUAUAGGUAAGAGAAUCACAUUGGAUAGUAGACAUGAAUAAACUAUCAAACCAAACAAUGUGGUCAAGAUUAUUGUAUUAGAGAAAGACCAUAUUGCAUUGUAAUCCUAAACUGAAUAGGUUCUCCACCUCUUCUGAUUAGCUUGGAUAGCCAUGACAUACUGCUAUGUGUCACUUAUGGUUUGUGGAAGCCCUAAAGGUGAGUAAUCACUAAGGGGAGAAUUGAAAGUAAGUUUCAAUUCACAAUUGAUUUGAAGAGUUCUAAUUGCCCACAACCUCGCUAAAAGGAAUUUAAUGGAUCAUACACCGAGUAAGGUAGAGAUUGAAGAAACAACGGAGAUGAGUAAGGAUAAUUAAAUGGUUUAAUUAUUUAUGGCUAGGAUUAAAUAAUAUGUUAAGUAAUCAAACGAAUAUGUUCGUUAUAGACCUCGGGUUAGUUUUGGGCCGCAAGGCCCAAUAAGAUUUGAAUGCUAAGCCCAUUAACUCAAGUUGUAUGACAACUUGAAAACACAAAGGGCUUGAAAGCCCAAUGAACCCUUAAGGCCGGCCACAUUAGAGGAUGAAGGGUUUUGGUUCUUUUGUCACUUAAUUGAAGGGACUAUAUAAAGAACUUUAUAACAUUUCAUCAUUAGGGUUUCUUUUGGAGAAACGAUGAGAACACAAAGCUCUCUUUUCUCUCUAAGAGGCUGGCCACCCUAAAGGAACAUAGCUAGCAAUCUUCCUUCCUCUAGGUCACUCAUCUCUUCAUCAAUGCUCUCCUUGGUGUGGAGACUCAAAGGUUCUCUAUUUUAGGAACUUGGAGAAUCAAUUCAUCCAUCCUCCACCAAGAAAUCCAUGGAGCUAAGAAGUAAGGAAUGAAGGCUCUCUCUUUUGGGUGAUUAGCCUUUGCUGCAAAGAAGAAUCAACGAAGGCAUAAUUUUCUGAACUCACUUUGUUCUUGAGUUGAGUCUUGGUUCACCAUAACUACUAGGCUUUGAAUUUCAUGAGUUAAGUUUUGUUUUUGAGUGCAUAUAAGCAUGAUUCCGCCUUUUAAUUGUUAAUAGCAUGCAUAGAUGUUGCUCAAAAGUGGUUUGGCUGAAAAACGGCUUGAAAGUGGACCGCGAUGAUUUAGCCAUCGAGAAAGGUACCAUUCUCUUUGUCUCAUUGAUAAGUAUGAUUUUUGUUUUUUAAUCACUCGAUUUCGUUGAGUGUUGAAGGAGUUAUGAACGUUUAAAAUUAACCCAGUUUCUUGCGAGUUUUCCAGUUUUCCCUCGGACCGGUCACCUUUUAGGCUGUUCUCCGGCCAUCUCCGAUAACCAUUUGCCUUCCAAAUAGGUAUAAUCUUGUUCUACACGUUCCUAUCUUCAUUUUGAUAUAUUAUGGGUCGAAUUUGGUUAAGAAACAAUUUAGUUACGAAACUUUGAAAAUUGCCCAAACUUCCGGCCAAGAACUUCGGGACACUUAACGGAGUUUUUAACGGAAGAACCAAAAUAAUGGAUGGUGGACAACCUCAAAGACCAUUUCUAUUGAUUUUCAAUCUUAGGGACCAAAGUGAUGUGUUAUGCAAAUCUCAGGGACCAUUUUGGCUAAAAAGCCUUAAUAUUGUUAGAGUUGUGAGGGCUGGAUUCUAUUAACAGCCCUAAAACCUUAGGGGUCUGGCUAGUAUUUGAAAAUUACCUUUCCAAGUUUGUGGGUUGGGCAUUAGUUAUUUUUAUACCUUUGUCUCUCCUUCACAUGUUUAAGAACUAAUGGAGUUCCUUGAAAUAUAGUGCAAGUUUUUGUCUUUAUAUGUAAAGCUCACAAAAGUUUAAUAUGAUAGAAUAAAAAAAUAAAAAAAACUAUAACUUUCUUUCUCUCCCAUCCUUCCUCUCUGUUGCCCCUCUCUCUUCACGCCUCGCCAUCAUCUCUCUCUCCUCUUUCACCUAUCAGUAUCAUCUAUCUUCUCUUUCACCCAUCACCAUCAUUUCUCCUUCUCUCUCUCAUGUCACGCAUUCCUCCCUCUCUUUUUUUGUUAGGUAUAUAAUUUUAAAAUUAAUCAUAUUUUUUAAGACAGAAUAAUAUGAAUUAUUUAUCACAUGUCAAAAUUCAACAAAUUAUUAUCAACAAAUUUUUAAUACAGUAGGGCCCCGUUUGUUAGGCCUCCUUAGUGGGGAUUGGCUUAGCUAGGACAACAAUCCCAUGUUUGGCGUAAGAAGGGACUAGCAUAAAUGACGCUAAGUCCGACUCGUGCCAACUAAACGCCUCACUAAGUUGCAUUAGCAAAUCUGUAGUGAACGCUUGGUAUUGGCUAGGACUAUCCUCGCUUACAACUUCAUGCUUUUGCAUAUAACAGCGUUCGUCGUAGUCCUCUACCGCCGACUCCGACAUCGUCAACUCCUUUAUGAUCUCCUGCAAAACCAGGUCAGAUUGAGAGUACUCACUUACACCCCAAAUUUGAAACCCAUCAGCCAUCUACUUUUUUCACUUGAGUGUACUUAUUUACACAUAGCCUGUCGUACAGACCACAAUAGGUGGUUCCAACUUAUGUGCAGGAAUUGGUUUAUGAGCUAUAGGUUCAACCGUACAGGUCACAUUAAGUGACUCCGGCGACAUAUCAAAUGGCUACAAACAGGGGUCCACUUUAAAAGUUAUAAUAACUUUAGCUUUUGGAUCAAAUUUUAACGACACAAAUUCCCUGAUUUAGUGUAUUAGAAGGAAGAAAUCCGAAGAUGAUCCCCUUCCCAAAAUAAGUACCUUUAAACCAUGGCUCCUAGAAUGCAUAGACAUGUAUAUUACAUACAUGUCUUACAAAACCCCUAAACUGUAUGUAUGUCAGUUGUCGGUAAUAUUAUUAUACAUAUACUAAAACUCAACAUAAAAU